ACAUGGUUGUGUGCCUCCUAGUGACCCUUGGAAAAGAUCGAUGUUGGCCUAGCAAGUCUCCCCUGACCGCUGCUUCCUCCCAAGUGCACUGCUCUCACAGUUCCAUGAGAACAUGGGUCCAAUGACAUGAUUUUGGAAUUUUAUCAAGUCCAGAAAGGACAAAGGACAUGUACUUUUUCAUUCAGCAGAGAACGGGAAAAAAAAAAAAGCAAAGCAAAGCAAAGACAAAACAUAAGGCAUUCAGCCUUGGACCGUGACUGCGCAGACAAGCCAGGCAGGGAGCUCUGAGCAUCUGAAACUCAGCCCAGAAAACUUCCAAAAGCAGAAUCGAGGGCUCCAUACUGGAGAAAGAGCUUAGCCACCCAGAAACGCCUAACCUCAAAUGUCUCGCUUCUGAAGCAAAGUGCAAUUUCUGCACAAAAGUGGGGAGAGACUGUGUGUUCCCUGCCCUCUGGCCUCAUCAUCAAUACUAAUUAUUUAAGGUUUUCUGUUUCCAAAAUUAAAGACCGGAUUCUGCAAAUGAGUUAGUUCACUAUUCAUUCUGUUAGAUGGGCAAGAUACUUGAAGUCUGGCAUUGGGGCACCACCUUCUGCUUUCGGGAGCUCACUCAAUGAGGUAGAGGAAGAGGACAAAGGUACUUAUAGAGAUGGCAUUUGGAAGGCACAGGUAGCUAUAUGUCCAGUGACAUGCACAGCUGCGGCCCUGGCAUUGGUAAUGCACUGGAAGGAGACCCCAAGGUCGAGAGACUGGCCUGGAAUGACUCCUACAGGCUCUCACUCUGCCACAUGUGUGAAAAUCACCUGAUUUCAAGCAGGAAGACUUGCCAGGAGCCCCAGGAUUGGCUUGGAACUGAAGCAUCAGCCUUGAUCACCUGGCUCUGUUACUCAUUAGCUGUGCUGCCCUGGGCAAAUUCCUUAACCUGUCUGAGCCUCUUGUGCCCUUCACUGCAGGUGGGCCCAUCUGUAGAUGGUGGCCCACACCAGAGAUGACCUCCACACAUGCUAGUGUCGUAUGUUCAGUCUGACGACAAGCAGAAUAUGAAGCGUGACUCACUUUGCCCCAACGGGGCAGUAUGCAUUGGAACAUCCCACAGACAGUACGGGGCCUCCUACCCAGACAUGGAAGUCACUUCACAGUGAGACAGUUCUUCAAAGGACCAAACCAACGCCAAAGGCAACACUUGGUUCUCUAGAGAUUAAAAAAGCAAGAGCAGACGGAGCUACACUCCUGUGCUGCUCCACUGGUACAGAGCUGAGGACGGCCUGCUUUCUCUGACCCCAAGACUACCCAAGUCUGAAUAGCUUCCAAGGAGGUCAAAGUGAAAGGCCUACAUGUGGGGCAUGGGGUUUCAUUCUCCAGCUGAGACAGACAGACAGACGGAUGCAUGCAUGCACGCACACGAGCGCACACAAAUGGAGAGACAGAGAGUGAGGCAGACACACACACAAGCACAAGGCAGGUGGGGGAGAGGAAAAGAGAGAGAGGAAAAGAGAGAGAGACAGAGAUCUGUCACUGGGCAUUUGAUCCCUAAGGAGGACACUGGCUUUCUUUCAGUAUGUGUGGCAUUGUAGUAGCUAUCCCUCUUACUUAAGCAAAGCGACGAGACACAGGCCGAUGACCAGGCCAGGCUUGUUUCAGGAGCUUGGUUUCUGGCUGUGAAGCUCUGUCCUCCGCACAGAUAUCCCCUGGUUGCCUCCGUCCUCCGCAUAGACAUCCCCUGGUUGCCUUCGUCCUCCGCACAGGCACCCCCUGCCCUGCAGCAGAUUACAUAAAGUCUCUAAAAAUGAUAGUCACUAGGCAAAAAUGUAGUCAAUACGAAUGCCUUGUGUGUUUUCAUAACAACCACAUGCAGAAGACCCUGAUUUAAGGGCUCAGCAGGGUCCCUAGCUCCAUUGCAAGUGCCCUGGCCAGCCGUGGGCUUUGCCUUUCCCUGGCCUCUCUCUGGUCUCACCUAAAUGUCCCUUCCCUACAUGGGCCCCUUUGCUCUCACUCGGCCCACCCAUCGGCUGUUCUUACAAAGCAGCGAGAAGCGUCUGGCUUGGCUUGCUAUGUCCAUGGUUAUUCACUUGCACACCUACACAUAGCAUGCUCAUUCUUCACAUGGCAUUUGUUGGACAAAUGGCUAAAGGUGCUUCUAAAACAACAGAGAAAGUCCGUUGUCUCUGUGCCACAUAGGGUCACUUCACCCUGCCCUUAUGACUCAGAGGACAUUUGUCACUCUGUGAAAUCACCUAUCUCAUAGAUGGUGCUGUGCUGAAGGAUGGAGACUCAUCAAACUACAGCCAGGGUCUCUAAGAAGGGACCAGCAAGGACAACCUGGCAGUCUGCCAUGCAGAGGUAUGGCAUUACUCUGCCAAAGGGAAGCAUUCUAAUCUCUAAAGUUACACAUGUGCACACAUACUCUCAGGCCCCCCGGGACCUUCAAGGAAGAAACUAUCUUCCCUGUGUGGGACAUAAACAUCACGCAGAUGGGUGUCUGUCUCCUCCCAGGUCUGGCUGGAUGUCGACUCCGAACCCCGCCUUGCCUCUGUGGAACUGUACAGAGUCCUCUGUAAGAAGCCUGCUGCGGUCAGGACACAGUCUCACACGCUCCUCUUAGGGAAAACAGACUCAACUAUUUCAAUCCAUAUCCCCAUAGCAACCAAACAGAAGGCGCUCUUGUCCUGACCCCUUUGACAGUGAGAGUUGCCCCAGCAGACUACACGAGUAGUUCCCAGUCAAAGUGUGCUUGCUCCCCAGUUCCAGCCGAGGCACGAACACCUGGGAGCUUGGGUGGACUGCAGAUCCUCAGGCCCUGGCUGGGACUUCUGAGUCUCAGCCUUGAUGCAGGGCCUGUCAAUCUUCCAUAUAACUGUGAUGUACCCUGGGGUUUGUGGGCCACUGUCCCAAGCCCAGGCUUUCACCAAGAUGUCAACCCCCAGCUCUUUAGAAAGUCCUGGCAAACUGAAGUUCAGUGACCUUCAAGGCAGGUUCUCCAUUGAUGCUCUGAGCUGGCCUUGGCUACUCCUGUGGCCUCCACUAAGCAACAGGCUCCAAUAUAAAGUGAGCUUUGGGAACAGCAGAAUGCCAUCAAUAUCCCUUUUGUGGAAAGUAACUGUGUUGUCCUCGGUCCAGAGGGUGAAGAAAAACAUGAUUUAAACUAGGCAGUACCAAGGCCAAUGACAAAACCCAGUCAUCUUGGCUGCAAGCAUCAUCAAGACAAAAGAAGGAUCUACAAGUAUUCCCAAAUAUUCACUGUUACUGGCACCUUUAUACUUGGAACUUCAAAAAAGGAGAAUCAGGUCCUUAAAUCCAGAAAGGGAAAUUUCUAGGAAGUAUUCAAAAUACAAGGAUUUCAGAUCAGCUCGAAGGAGGGCUGGUGGGGCUCUGCUCAGCAGACAUUCACCCUCCCUGAGGUGGGGGAGAGAUCUUUGUGUCCCUCCCCAUACUACAGGCUACAGUCUCUCUCUGGGUUAGUGAAAGCAAUCAACAGCUAAAACUGUAUCCGUACAGAGCAGAGCCCACGUGGCACCAGAUUCAGUGAGACGCAUAAUAGGGCCAUUCUAAGACCAGAUUUUUAAAUGGCCUUUCUGUCUCCUCCCUCGUGCAUCUGGGGCAGGGGACAUUGCAUUAAAAUGCAGCCAGG
rnacentral:lncRNA from 1 species